rnacentral:tRNA from 1 species
GGAGAGGUGCCAGAGUGGUUGAUCGGGGCGGUCUCGAAAACCGUUGUGCCUUUGCGGGCACCGAGGGUUCGAAUCCCUCCCUCUCCG